ACAGCAGCCGCCGCGGUAAUACGAAGGGGGCUAGCGUUGUUCGGAAUUACUGGGCGUAAAGCGCACGUAGGCGGACAUUUAAGUCAGGGGUGAAAUCCCGGGGUUCAACCCCGGAACUGCCUUUGAUACUGGGUGUCUUGAGUGUGGAAGAGGUCAGUGGAAUUGCGAGUGUAGAGGUGAAAUUCGUAGAUAUUCGCAGGAACACCAGUGGCGAAGGCGGCUGACUGGUCCAUAACUGACGCUGAGGUGCGAAAGCGUGGGGAGCAAACAGGAUUAGAUACCCGGGUAGUCCCUGUCUCUUAUAC
rnacentral:rRNA from 1 species